CAUUUUCUCCGAAUGGCACUUGAAGAAUUCACGGGUGGUUUUGCAAUCCCGUGAUUCUCACGUGCCGUACGGAGCGAGAG
rnacentral:pre_miRNA from 1 species